rnacentral:tRNA from 1 species
GCGGGCGUAACUCAGUUGGUAGAGUUUCAGCUUCCCAAGCUGGAUGUCGCGGGUUCGAACCCCGUCGCCCGCU